GACGAACGCUGGCGGCGUGCUUAACACAUGCAAGUCGAGCGGAAAGGCCCUUCGGGGUACUCGAGCGGCGAACGGGUGAGUAACACGUGAGUAACCUGCCCCAGACUUUGGGAUAACCCUCGGAAACGGGGGCUAAUACCGGAUACGACACAGCUUCGCAUGGGGUCUGUGUGGAAAGUUUUUCGGUUUGGGAUGGGCUCGCGGCCUAUCAGCUUGUUGGUGGGGUGAUGGCCUACCAAGGCGACGACGGGUAGCCGGCCUGAGAGGGCGACCGGCCACACGGGGACGGGGACACGGCCCAGACCCCCACGGGGGGCAGCGGGGGGAAAUUUUGCACAAGGGGGGGAAGCCUGAGGCGGCGACGCCGGGGGGGGGAUGACGGCCUUCGGGUUGUAAACCUCUUUCAGCGGGGACAAGGGGUAGGGGGGGGUACCGGCAAAAGAAGCCCCGGCCAACUAGGU
rnacentral:rRNA from 1 species